GUGCCAGCAGCCGCGGUAAUACGUAGGGUGCAAGCGUUGUCCGGAUUUAUUGGGCGUAAAGAGCUCGUAGGCGGUUUGUCGCGUCUGCUGUGAAAGCCCGAGGCUCAACCUCGGGUCUGCAGUGGGUACGGGCAGGCUAGAGUGCGGUAGGGGAGAUUGGAAUUCCUGGUGUAGCGGUGGAAUGCGCAGAUAUCAGGAGGAACACCGAUGGCGAAGGCAGAUCUCUGGGCCGUUACUGACGCUGAGGAGCGAAAGCAUGGGUAGCGAACAGGAUUAGAUACCCUGGUAGUCCAUGCCGUAAACGGUGGGCGCUAGGUGUGAGUCCCUUCCACGGGGUUCGUGCCGUAGCUAACGCAUUAAGCGCCCCGCCUGGGGAGUACGGCCGCAAGGCUAAAACUCAAAGGAAUUGACGGGGGCCCGCACAAGCGGCGGAGCAUGUGGAUUAAUUCGAUGCAACGCGAAGAACCUUACCUGGGCUUGACAUACACCAGAUCGUCGUAGAGAUACGGUUUCCCUUUGUGGUUGGUGUACAGGUGGUGCAUGGUUGUCGUCAGCUCGUGUCGUGAGAUGUUGGGUUAAGUCCCGCAACGAGCGCAACCCUUGUCUUAUGUUGCCAGCAUUUGGUUGGGGACUCAUGAGAGACUGCCGGGGUGAACUCGGAGGAAGGUGGGGAUGACGUCAAAUCAUCAUGCCCCUUAUGUCCAGGGCUUCACACAUGCUACAAUGGUCGGUACAACGCGUGUGCGAUCCUGUGAGGGUGUGCUAAUCGCUGAAAGCCGGUCGUAGUUCGGAUUGGGGUCUGCAACUCGACUCCAUGAAGUCGGAGUCGCUAGUAAUCGCAGAUCAGCAACGCUGCGGUGAAUACGUUCCCGGGCCUUGUACACACCGCCCGUCACGUCAUGAAAGUUGGUAACACCCGAAGCCAGUGGCCUGUCAUGGGAGCUGUCGAAGGUGGGAUCGGCGAUUGGGACGAAGUCGUAACAAGGUA
rnacentral:rRNA from 1 species